GAGGCACAAAGUGGGGUAGAAACUGAAAGGUCACAGUGUAUAAAGAAACUCCAGAGACAAUGUUUGACCAUGUGAAGCUAAUGUUAUGGGGAAUUAACAACUAUAUAUGAAGAAAUCAUGAGAGAGGAGAGAUUAAGGCAAUACAGACAGAAAGGUCAUAAGAUCCAAGGAGGUAGAGGGAACACCUGAUACCUGAGUUGCUUUCUGGAAGCCAAAGAACCACUAUUCCUGUGGUUUUUCCUUUCCAUUCACUAUCUAUUGUCUCCCAGUCUUCUUUGCAGACUCUUCUCUAUUUUUCCUUUAAAUAUUAGUCUUCUUCAUUGAGGGCUCUGACCUUGGGCUUUCUUCAGCCUAUUCGCUUUCCAAGGGGCAUGGCCAUGGCUUCCCAUACUGCCUAUAUACUGAUGAGGCCCAGAUAUUAAUUUCUAGGAUCUCUCUCCUGAGUUCGAGUCCUGCUUAUCCAGCUGCCUGGUGAACCUUGCCGCUCCCCAAAUACAUUUUACUAGCCCUCAAAAUGAAAUUAUCUAAAAUGGAACUUUCCUGUCAAAUCUUCCCUUUUUCUAAUACUUUUUGGUAAAGAAAACCCUCAGCUGAAAACCAAAAAUCAUCCUAGAAAUCUCUGUCCUUUUAAUUCACUUAAACAUUGUUAUAUUCAUUGCACCUUUUUCAUUUCUUUUGACUCCCUCUUCUUCCAGUCCCACUGCUACUGUCUAAACUCAGGGCCUCUGAGCUGCCCUUUUAGUUUCCUGGCAUCAGUCUCCUAACCCUGCUCAUAACUCUUCUGUGGCCAUCCCAUGUUCUUACAGGAAACCCUCAACAUUUUCGCAUGGCAUUCAAAUCCUCCAUGAGGCUUCCCCUGGCUACUUCAUCAACAUAAUAUUUUGCUGCACUCCAUCUAACCCCAGGUUUCAAGUUAUCCAGACUUUCUGUGACUCCCACAACAUCUCAAGUUGUUCCCUCCAUCUGGACUUUGCUCUCCCUGGUCUCCCUUCCAGGAAAGCUAACUUCCCUUUCUCUUCCUGUCAACACUUUCCUAUGUUGUCCUUUAAUAUUUAUGAUCCUGCCUCCACAGGAAAUCGCUAUCUUUUUAUUAUGUCCCAACUAUACACUGUACAGAUGCCUAUGACAACAUCGAUAGCACUUUAUUACACUUAAUUUUAAAACUUUUGCAUCCUUCUAUUUGACCUGGAGGAGCAGAAAAUAUAUCAAUUUAACUGUUUGUCCUAUGCCUAGCAGUGAAAACAUUCAGAAUAUGCUUUGGAGGAAAGGAAGGAAAUUAACACACUGAUCCUCUAUGGAAAAAAUAAAUUAGUUCAUCCUCUGAGAGAAAAGAAUAAUUCAAGGUAAGCGAAGUCAUGAAAUGCAGUGGUCAUAAUUCAAAAUGCUCACACAGAUACACACACACCCCACACCAUACAAAGCUCUUUUACGGAGGACAAAAAAGGGUAUCGUCUUCUUCCUCAGAAAGCUGUAACAUCACCUCAACAAUUGGAAGCAGAAACCUUCAAAGGUAGGAUAACUAAGCAAAGAAGACAAUUCUUGAACUACAUAGAUAAAUUCUCAGGUAUAUAAAGACUUUUUAUUUACGUAAGUAUCUUAGCAAGAAUACUAGGGAAUAGGCAACUGGAAUUUGCUCCACGUUGAUACUCGCAAAGAGAAAUUGGAGUCCUUCACAGAGGCAUGGUCCCAAGUACACUGGCAGACAGGAGGCAGGAAGGGCUCUGUCACAGUCCAUAACAGUGCUAAAGAGUCAAUUAGUCUCUAAUUAGCUGAGGAAAAGCUGCUGCUGCUGUUUCUGUGAGCCUAAAGAAAGGUUUUAAGGACAGUUGAAAUUGGAACGUAAUCAUCUCUGUUUAGGAUGUAAUAAAUGAUGCAUGUAAUCAAGGAUGAGAGAGGACCUUCACUGCUCUAGCUAGUCUGAGUUACAUGGGCUAAGGUACUCAAUGAGAAAUUGGGGCUGUGAGUUAGUAGCCAGGUGUUCCUCCCAUUUGUACUAUGGUAUUUAAGUGCACAAUCAUGUGCCACCUUUCAGUCCAGGAGUGAAGGAAAUUGCUAAGGCCGAGGAGGCACACUGAGUGUGUGUUGAGAAAGAGCGUAGGAAACAGGGAGGAGGCCCUGAUGAACAGCCUUCUUCAUUCAACAGCUCUGCACCUUCUCACGGUUUCUGAGGAAAAGGGACUGAGAGAAAGAACUUUUGCCUCCCAGAAUGGAAUGGUAAAGGGCAAACUGAAUAUUCUAGUCAAGAAUGGGAAUGUGCUUUGGCUUCCACAUUUUGAGGAUGAUUUCUUCCUUAAUGUAAUGUAUCCUGAAGGCACUGGGGGCAGGCAAUGCAUUCUUUAUUUCUCCCUUGGCAGUUCUUCUGCCCCAGAACUGUAGGCUUAGAGUUGAGUUUGAUGCUUGCACGUGUUUCCUUUGUCUGAAACAGUCUCUUUCAUCUCUACUUAAUGCCUUCUUACUCUCCAGGAUUCCUCAUGCACGUUAAUUCCUGUGGGAAGCAUUUCCUGAUAUUCUGCCCACACCUCUACCACUACGCAAGAGAGGGUGUGUUGGCUGGAGGUGACCUGCCUGACAACAGACCUACUAAUUUCAUUUCAACAUGCUGACGUGUGUCUACUGUACCCAUCAAUGCCUCUGUUCUGCACAGCAAAAGGAAAACUUACCACAAUGUAUUUGAUUUGGUUAAGAGAUAGAACUUAGCACAUACUUGUAUUCUUUACAGUUUGGAAACAAACUAUCAUCAUUUGUAUUGGUAUAUGUUUGAAGAUACCACAGAGACACAAAACUGUUUUUAAAAAAAUCAAGCACACACAAAGAAACAAAAGUUGAAAGUAGUUCACUUGUAACCUAUCUUUUUAAAAAAUGCUAAAGAAAGGAAUUCCUGGGAAUAUAUAUAUACACACACAUACACACAAUAAAUACGUAUGUGUGUAUAUAUAUGUAUGUGUGUAUAUAUGUAUUUAUUGUGCAUCUAUUUACCUUCUUAUUUUAGACAGAACUAUUCAAAUGCAUUCUAUUAAUAAAAUGUUUAGGAACUCACUUCCCACCCUCAUUUCUGUGCUUUUAACUUUUGAGCAUCAGGACUAACAACUGAGGAAAACGUCUAAGCGUGUUAAGUCUGCUCAUACACCGUCAUUUAUACCCUGACAAUACACACACAACCUACAAGUAUAUACACAAAUGAUACUUAAUGGCAUGUGAAUUUUAUCAACCUACUCUAUUCUAUUGAAUGCUUUGAGGCACAGAUUAAUAUUCUUACAAAUUGUUUUAUAAUUUUUAAAUAUACUUUUUACUUCAAGAUAAUUUUAGACUUACAGAAAAGUAGGAGAAAGAGUUCUCAUAUACCUCUUACCCCAGUUUUCUCUAAUGUCGCAUCUUACAUUCCCACAGCGGAUGUGUCAAAAGUAAAAAAGAAACAUUGGAAUAUUACCAUAUUAACUUAACUCCAGACUUUAUUUGGAUUUCAACAGUUUUCCAUUAAUGUCUUCUUUCUCUUUCAAGGCCUAAUCCAGAAUACCGCAUUGUAUUUAGUGUUUUGUGAUUUUUUUGAAAAAGUGGAUGUUUUAUACAGUUCCACAUUUUUUAUUCAGUGUCUUGUUUGUGCUUCUAUAUAAGCAUUUAAUGCAACAGUGUUCAUCUGAGUAUUGCUUUUGAAUGCCAAAAUACCAUGUUUUUCACACUCCAAACUCUUAGGCAGGCUUCUGAAGACAACUUGUCCCUUAUUUAUGAUACUAUAUAUUUAAAGUAACUGAAAAUAUGCAAAAUAAUGCUUACUUUGUGCAGAGUCCAUGAACUCUAACCAAAACACAUAAAUGUCAAAUUUGAGCAAUAUAUUUUGAUUGAUUUUAAAAUUCCAUUUGAGGCACUACUUUUCUGAAUAGAUGCCCAUGGAAAAUAUUUUAAAAUAUUGUUUUAUUAAAAAAUUGUUUCCUAUAGAAUCUGAAAAGUUAUUUAGGUAGACUUUUAAUAAAAUGUUUGAACAAUUUAAAUGCUAUUUCAGACUGUCAGAAUGAUGAAUGUUUUUUAAUUAUUUUCAUAAUGAUUUAUCACUCCAGUUUACAGUACCUGAAAUAUUUUUUUCGCUUCACCUAAACAACUGGCGUUUUUCUGUUAUGUUCUUUUCCUUGUUGUAUACUCUGCUCUGAAGUACUUUCAAAUUAAAAAAAAAAAAAAAAAAACAGUAUUGUAUUCUAGGG